rnacentral:misc_RNA from 1 species
UCUCCGUUGGUGAACCAGCGGAGGGAUCAUUACCGAGUUUACAACUCCCAAACCCAAUGUGAACCAUACCAAACUGUUGCCUCGGCGGGGUCACGCCCCGGGUGCGUCGCAGCCCCGGAACCAGUCGCCCGCCGGAGGGACCAACCAAACUCUUUCUGUAGUCCCCUCGCGGACGUUAUUUUUACAGCUCUGAGCAAAAAUUCAAAAUGAAUCAAAACUUUCAACAACGGAUCUCUUGGUUCUG